ensembl:lncRNA
UCUGCUUGCAGUUCACCAAUGUUCACAGAAUUCACAGAGUGACUCUGACAGUACAGGAACUGGGCAGAUUUAUAGGCCUGCUGCCGAUACAGCUCUGGGGUUUGCAAGUGGCUAUAACUCCUGUCACUCUGCAACAACCAGAGGCUGUGGGGCUUUCUCCCUGCAGGGGACAGUGCUUUGUAAUGGAGACUUCCUCCAAAGUCCCCAAAUCCCAUCUCCUGGGAAUCUGUUCUUUCCAGGCAUUUCACAUGGUUAUUUUUGGCUGAGUCUGUGGAGAUUUCUAGUUUCCCAGUGCAGUCAUUUUUAUAACAUGUGGCUGCAAAGCCUGUAGAAUUAGAUAUAAUUUAUCCUCGUGCAUUUGAGUGUCUCAGGGCUGUAUAUAAGCAACCACUGCCUCUCACACCUGCUCCCUCUCUGGGCCCUGUUUGAAACACUCCUUUACUGUGAGAGGACCGAGCUGCACAGGCUCUGGACAACAGCUCCUUUAUUGAGCUUGCUGAGCUGCCAUAAAUAUUUAAUUAGCUGUUGCUCUAUUUCUGGAGAGAUACAGAAAAGAAAGCCAUUUUCUUGCAUUUAAACAGAUCCAUUCCGGCACCAUCCUGCUGGAAGGGCUUCCCUGCAUUAACUCAUGACAGCGAGCCAGAUACGGGAGGGUGCAAAGAAAUGUGUGCCAGGCUGAAGGGCUGGCGAGGAGUUUUCCAGUGGAAUCGCAGAUGGAAUUACAACAGCUGUGCCUUGGCUUGGUGGGCUCUUCUUGCAGCGCAAACUCAGCCCCGGCACCUAAAGAUGUGACUGCCUCGUGGAGCUCCGAAGUUCUCACAUGAACAGAUUCAAAGAUUUCUGACGUUCUGGGGUAAUACCAGACGACAGAGCAUCGUGCGAUGCAGACUUAAUGCAGCCAGCUCAUAGCAGCGAGAAGAAAACAAAGCUUGGGGGACUGCUAUUUUGUGUGUGAAAAGAACCACCGAGGCCGACACCGCUACUGCACGCGUGUGGAAGG